GGUUACUGUGAAUUCUGAAACACUGAAAUAAAGGAGCUUUACCUUUUUGAGAAGAUGCAACCUCAUUUCUGACUCAGCUUCUCGAAUGACUACUCCAAAUGGCCCGUAUAAACAGCCCAGUGCCAUACACCCAGCAGGCAAUUCCAAGCAGAAGCAAGAGGAUUGAAACACGUUCAAUACCAGCCUGAUCUACAAAGUUCCAGAGAGCAAGUUCCAGUCAAGCCCAGACACCAUAUCAAAAAUUGAGAGAUUUUAAAAGUGAUAGACUGGCUUAUUUAACGAACAUGGAGUUCUCAAAGUUUAUAACCAUGUUAGGUACAUGUCAGGCUUAUGCCAAUUCCACUACAUAAGGCAUGUCUAAUGUUUAUCUUCACAGACACAAGUUAGAGGCAACCCAAGUAAUGCUGCUGUGAACCCGAGUUUCUAGUACUUAGGAAGACCUAGGUUUUCUUGGUUUUUAUUUUAGAUGCUGCAAAAACUUUUCUACAACAGGUUCAGCAUCUUACAUUGCCACUGAGUGUGAUGAGUGCCUUUCAGUGGCACCACAAAUACCACAAUGCCCAUUACACUUGAACCAUAUCUCCGUGUGAACUGCGGCUCGUUUGGCCUACUAAAUUAAGAUCUCAAGUAACUGGAGAAAAUAGUGAUGUUUGAUGGCUGUUUACUCCAGAAGAGAGGCUCUUGAGCCUCGGGAGGUUUAAUAAUAACAAUAAAGGCACAUGUCUGAGAGAAGUAUCUUGGAAGACUCUUGAGGAACCCUUACACAGAAAGACAAGGAACACCUGCUGGAGGAGGAGACAGACCAGCUGUUCUGCAGGGAGGUCUAGGUUGUAGCGUUCAAGGUGGACAGUGGUUUUGGGGGGAGGGCUUCUUGGUAGUGCAGCUGCUUUUGAGUUAUCCCUACUCCUCAACAGAAACUUCUCACCCAUAAUCCUGUUAGUAACCUCAAUAACGAUCACAGUUCACCAACAGAACAUGGGUGCAACUGUUACUCUGGUCCCUUGUGCUUCAUUUUUGGGGUGAGAUAUGUUGCAUCUCGCCAGGAAAAGUCUGGGCACCGUGUUAGGUGGGUAUUCUGAGUUUGAACCUAUCUGACUCCAGAGUGGCUUGGACAAUGUUUUCUCUUGACUUAGCACUAGAAGUUAGUAUAGGAUCAUCAGGAGCCAUAACUACUUAACAGGAAGGCCAACUGAACUGGGAAAAGAUAAAACAACUUCACAGAACUGAGAAAAUGAAACAAAAAGGGUUUCCUGGGAUGAAGAGUUACAGACGCCGCUGGGGAACUUGCCUCAAAAGUCUCCCAAGUCCAGUGGCCAAACUGGCUCAGCACUUAAGUGUAAGGAAUACCACUCAGCACCCACUUGCCUACAAUUCCAGCUCCAGGAAGUCCGACACCCUCUUCUGGUCUCCUAAGUCCUGCACGUAGCCCACCCUCCCCUGUACAUAUAAACCGAAUUAAAAACAAGUCCUUUUAAAACGGUUCAGGGAUCCAGUAUGAAUACUGCCUUUCUUAAUAAUGUAAAACCAGACAUGAAAGCAUGUGCAGUGUCAGUCACUGGGGUGAUGCAGACCAGAAACUAAGUGCUAGCAAGGCCGUGGGAGGAUAAGAAUUCCUCUACACUACUAGUGAGACAGGCUUUGGGUGACACUUCAGCAGCUUUCCAAAAUGGCACCUACUCAUAACUGGAAAUUCAAACGCCUCUCUGCUAACUAAGAACAGAAAAUUUGUAAGAAUUCAGUGGCACUAUUUACAGUAGUCCUAAAUAGAAAUAACUGAAAUGUUCAUAGUCAUAGGCAAAAUCCAGUAUAACUCACAGUGAGGGUCAAUGGGAUUAUAUCAUAAUAUCUACAACAUGGAUAAACCUAUACACCAUGCUCAAAGUCAGUUAGCCAAACACAAAAGAGACAGACCACUUACGGCAUAAUUCCAGUUAUAAGAGAAGUACAAAACCUACAAAUCUUCUAAGACAAAAUGAACUAGAGAGUGGAGAGUGUAACUGAAUUACUCAUUUGAGUACUGUGCUCAGUUCCAACUCACACACACAGUAACACUGGAAUGAGAUUAGCAUGGCCCCUGUGCAAGGAUAACAUGCAAAUUGGUUGUGUUCUAUAACAUUUCCAUAGGAAAUAAAUUUGAAUAGCUGAAAAGGUUCUAAAAUUGUGAUACUAACAACAUGAGCAUGUUAAAGAACACAAAACAGCUGGCAUGGUGGUGUAUGCCUUUAACUGUAGAACUUGGAAGGCAGAGGCAGGAAAAUUUCCAGGAGUCCUAGGCCAGUCUGGUCUACAUGAGCUUUUAGGCACCAAAUAGUGUCCCUUAAAUGACUAAGAUUAGGUCUAGACAUUUGGCUCACCAGUGGAGUGCUUGCCUAGAAUGUUUUAGGCCCAAGUUCCCUAAAUCCCUGAACUAUAAAAGAAAAGUUGGUAAAGAAUUUAAAUUUUAUAUCUAUGUGAGAUCUCAUAAUAAACCCAAAAAUAAAAAGCAGGAGGCGCCUUUGUUAAAACCCUCAAGUUUCUGAGCUAGGGACCAAGCAGCUCAGUUUGGUAAAGCCCUUGCCUAGCAUGCACUGCACCUUUGGGUUCAGUCUCCUAGUAUUACAUAAAAGCAGCAUGGUGCCACCUGCCUUUGACUCCCAGCCUUCAGCAGGUGGAGGCAGAAAGAUUAGUUCUAGGUCACCCUUGGUUACAAGAGACCUUUU
rnacentral:sRNA from 1 species